rnacentral:rRNA from 1 species
UACAGAGGUCUCAAGCGUUGUUCGGAUUCAUUGGGCGUAAAGGGUGCGUAGGCGGCGCGGUAAGUCGGGUGUGAAAUCUUGGAGCUUAACUCCGAAACUGCAUUCGAUACUGCCGUGCUUGAGGACUGGAGAGGAGACUGGAAUUUACGGUGUAGCGGUGAAAAUGCGUAGAUAUCGUAAGGAAGACCAGUGGCGAAGGCGGGUCUCUGGACAGUUCCUGACGCUGAGGCACGAAGGCCAGGGGGAGCAAACGGG